GCGAGAAACCUUUGCAAUGUGCUCAAGCACGACAAGGUUAAUCCGAGUGUUUCCUGCUAAAGGAAUCUUUUGUUAGUUCUAAAACCACUGAUGAAUAAGAGGUGGGCAAGUUCUGGUGUCAGCCGCCGCGGUAAAACCAGCACCUCAAGUGGUCAGGAGGAUUAUUGGGCCUAAAGCAUCCGUAGCCGGUUCUGUAAGUUUUCGGUUAAAUCCACUAGCUUAACUAAUGGGCUGCCGAAAAUACUGCAGAACUAGGGAGUGGGAGAGGUAGACGGUACUCGGUAGGAAGGGGUAAAAUCCUUUGAUCUAUUGAUGACCACCUGUGGCGAAGGCGGUCUACCAGAACACGUUCGACGGUGAGGGAUGAAAGCUGGGGGAGCAAACCGGAUUAGAUACCCCCGUAGUCCCUGAGCGGGCUGGCAAGGCGCAU
rnacentral:rRNA from 1 species